rnacentral:rRNA from 1 species
AGUGAACGCUGGCGGUAGGCCUAACACAUGCAAGUCGAACGGCAGCACAGUAAGAGCUUGCUCUUACGGGUGGCGAGUGGCGGACGGGUGAGGAAUACAUCGGAAUCUACUUUUUCGUGGGGGAUAACGUAGGGAAACUUACGCUAAUACCGCAUACGACCUACGGGUGAAAGCAGGGGAUCUUCGGACCUUGCGCGAUUGAAUGAGCCGAUGUCGGAUUAGCUAGUUGGCGGGGUAAAGGCCCACCAAGGCGACGAUCCGUAGCUGGUCUGAGAGGAUGAUCAGCCAAACUGGAACUGAGACACGGUCCAGACUCCUACGGGAGGCAGCAGUGGGGAAUAUUGGACAAUGGGCGCAAGCCUGAUCCAGCCAUACCGCGUGGGUGAAGAAGGCCUUCGGGUUGUAAAGCCCUUUUGUUGGGAAAGAAAAGCAGCAGGUUAAUACCCCGCUGUUCUGACGGUACCCAAAGAAUAAGCACCGGCUAACGUCGUGC